UAAGUUUCGAUUCAUUUGGUAAUACUAAAUUUUAUUAAUUUUUAUGCGGAUUUAGUCAUUAGCUUUUUGUGACUUAGGACAACCACAAAAUCCAUUAGGUUGUCUGUUGACAGUCUGUUGAUGUCUUGUUCAGUAAAAAUAAAUUUCGUCAACAGUUUUGUUAUUGUGACAGGAUAUUGUUUCUCUUUUAGAGAAGUUCAGUGGAACAAAGGCAAUAUUUUGGGAUGAACUGGCCCCAUUGGUUUGGUGGCACGUGGCAGAAUACAGUUUUCUUAAGGAACUAGAUGUUGUAAAAAUGUUCCAGUUAAAACCUGGGCGCUUGUCUUCCAUAUCUGUUAAAAAUAUACUGUUCAUCACAAGACCUGAAGUUGAGCUGAUGGAUUGUAUUGCCGAUAACUUGCACAGCGAAGAAAACCAAGGACAUUCUGCUAGUAAGGAAUAUCAGUUAAUUUUGUCUCCCGACGAAGUGCAGUAUGUGAACAGCGGCUCAAGGACAAAGGAGUGUAUGGAACUCUUACUUCUAUUGAUGAACUGCCUGUUGAUUUUUUCCCACUAGAUAGUAAUGUCAUUUCAAUGGAACUCGAUAAUGUUUUCAAGGAUUUAUAUGUUGACAAUGAAAUCAGCUCCUUACACCAAAUUGCUCAUGGGUUAAUGUCCCUCCAAAGUUUAUAUGGCAUUUUCCUCAACGUUGUGGGUAAGGGGCGCCAUGCCCGUAACGUAUUCGAAUUGAUGACUCGAAUGCGACGUGAUAUUGGGGUAGACUGUGAUCCUCCCAUGUCUCCGUUGUUAAACACUCUCAUAAUCAUUGAUAGGACUGUAGAUUUGAUAACUCCUGUUGUCACUCAGUUGACCUAUGGGUCUUAUCGACGAAUUCUAUGGAAUAAAACAUAGUAAGAAAGUAUUGUUAGCUUCUGAGUAAAACAAUUAUUUUACUUGCAUUUUGUGGUUUCAUUGUUAUUUAGAUACAGUCAAGCUUCCAGGAGAAAAUUUUCAAGCCUAAUCACAUGCGGGCCAGUCACCUCGCUCUGAUGGUAGCUCUGUUAAAUCUGUUGUUCUAAACUCGGCCGAAGAACUUUACGCUGAUUUGAGGGACAAGAACUUUUCAGUCGUGGGUACUGCACUCAGUCGCAAAGCUAAAGCUAUUUCAGCUCAGUAGCCUGGAUAACGCCAUUGUUGCAUUUGGAGGUGUUAAGGUUUCUGCAUUCGCACGCGAUAGUGGAGAAAUAUUCCUAGACUCCUUCGAUGAUUCGGUAAUCAUGAUCAACCCGGAUAUACCUGAUGAAAGGGAGCUGAGGGAGUGGCUUAAAGACAAUCAGUAAACAAAUCCUUUUUUACUGAUUGUCUGAAGAUCUUAAUUACUUGACGUCCU